UCUAAUAUGGCAGAAAAGUGCAAUGGAUUUAAGCUCCAAAUAUGAAAUUCGUUUCUAUUAGAA
rnacentral:tRNA from 1 species